AUUGAACGCUGGCGGCAGGCCUAACACAUGCAAGUCGAGCGGAUGAAGGGAGCUUGCUCCUGGAUUCAGCGGCGGACGGGUGAGUAAUGCCUAGGAAUCUGCCUGGUAGUGGGGGAUAACGUCCGGAAACGGGCGCUAAUACCGCAUACGUCCUGAGGGAGAAAGUGGGGGAUCUUCGGACCUCACGCUAUCAGAUGAGCCUAGGUCGGAUUAGCUAGUUGGUGGGGUAAAGGCCUACCAAGGCGACGAUCCGUAACUGGUCUGAGAGGAUGAUCAGUCACACUGGAACUGAGACACGGUCCAGACUCCUACGGGAGGCAGCAGUGGGGAAUAUUGGACAAAGGGCGAAAGCCUGAUCCAGUCAUGCCGCGUGUGUGAAGAAGGUCUUCGGAUUGUAAAGCACUUUAAGUUGGGAGGAAGGGCAGUAAGUUAAUACCUUGCUGUUUUGACGUUACCAACAGAAUAAGCACCGGCUAACUUCGUG
rnacentral:rRNA from 1 species